UCUACAGUGGCAUAGUGGUUAGAGCGUCCGCCUCGGAUGCGGGAGGUUGUAGUUCGAUCCCCGGUCGAG